GCCGCCAUGGCGCAGGGGUAGCGCACAUCCUUGGUAAGGAUGAGGUCGUGAGUUCGAAUCUCACUGGCGGCU
rnacentral:tRNA from 1 species